UGGGGAUUCGUUAUUCUCCGAGGUUGGCGGGCUCGACGCGAGGCUCGAUGGGCUGCGGGAUUGUCAAGCAGGCGGGUGAUUGCUCAACGAUGACUGGAGACGAUCUUCGGUAUUACAACUGGUUUAUACCAAUGGGUUAUUUGCAUCUCAAGUUAAAUUAGUCACUGUUGAUCAACAAUGAGAUGUGGCCAUUGUUUGAUGGAUCAUUGAUGGUACGGAUGUGCAAUGAAACAAUGAUAUACCCACUGUAUUGGACCCAAACACCUUCCUGAAAAUUGUUCUGAAGGGGUUAGCACAAGGAAACUAUUGUUAUG